AUGGACAAGCUUCUGGAGGCAUCAUUAUUCAUUUUAUUGCUUCAGUUAAUCUGGGUGAGUGGCCAACAGAAGGAGAAAAAUGACCAACAGCAGGUGAAGCAAAAUCCUAAAUCUCUGAUUGUCCAGGAAGGAAGAACUUCAGUGCUUAACUGUGCUUAUGAGAAUAAUGCCUUUGAAUAUUUCCCAUGGUACCAGCAAUAUCCUGGUAAAGGCCCUGUACUUCUGAUAUACAUUCGUUCAGUUGGGAAUAAAAAUCAAUAAGGAAGAUUCAUAGCCUUCUUCAAUAAAACUGCUAAACUCUUUUCUUUGCACAUCUUGACUUCCCAGCCUGGAGACUCAGCCACCUACUUCUGUGCUGCUGGAGGUGGUGCUAGUAGCUCAAUGAAGUGA